rnacentral:tRNA from 1 species
GGGACAGUAGCUCAGUGGUACAGCUUCAGCUCUGUGCGCGGGAAGGCUUGGGUUCGGUUCCCGGCUGUUUUC